rnacentral:rRNA from 1 species
UACGUAGGUGGCAAGCGUUGUCCGGAAUUAUUGGGCGUAAAGCGCGCGCAGGCGGCCUUUUAAGUCUGAUGUGAAAGCCCACGGCUCAACCGUGGAAGGUCAUUGGAAACUGAAAGGCUUGAGUACAGAAGAGGAAAGCGGAAUUCCACGUGUAGCGGUGAAAUGCGCAGAUAUCAGGAGGAACACCAGCGGCGAAGGCGGCGCUCUGGGCCGGAACUGACGCUGAGGAGCGAAAGCGUGGGUAGCAAACAGG